rnacentral:rRNA from 1 species
UGGCUCAGAGCGAACGCUGGCGGCAGGCCUAACACAUACAAGUCGAACGGAUCCUUCGGGAUUAGUGGCGGACGGGUGAGUAACACGUGGGAACGUGCCCUUUGGUUCGGAACAACUCAGGGAAACUUGAGCUAAUACCGGAUAAGCCUUUCGAGGGAAAGAUUUAUCGCCAUUGGAGCGGCCCGCGUAGGAUUAGCUAGUUGGUGGGGUAAAGGCCCACCAAGGCUACGAUCCUUAGCUGGUCUGAGAGGAUGAUCAGCCACAUUGGGACUGAGACACGGCCCAGACUCCUACGGGAGGCAGCAGUGGGGAAUCUUGCGCAAUGGGCGAAAGCCUGACGCAGCCAUGCCGCGUGAAUGAUGAAGGUCUUAGGAUUGUAAAAUUCUUUCACCGGGGACGAUAAUGACGGUACCCGGAGAAGAAGCCCCGGCUAACUUCGUGCCAGCAGCCGCGGUAAUACGAAGGGGGCUAGCGUUGCUCGGAAUUACUGGGCGUAAAGGGAGCGUAGGCGGAUAGUUUAGUCAGAGGUGAAAGCCCAGGGCUCAACCUUGGAAUUGCCUUUGAUACUGGCUAUCUUGAGUACGGAAGAGGUAUGUGGAACUCCGAGUGUAGAGGUGAAAUUCGUAGAUAUUCGGAGAGCCACCAGUGGCGAAGGCGACAUACUGGUCCGUUACUGACGCUGAGGCUCGAAAGCGUGGGGAGCAAACAGGAUUAGAUACCCUGGUAGUCCAUGCCGUAAACGAUGAACACUAGGUUUCGGACUCGUCAACGGCUCGGAGCCGCAGCUAACGCGUUAAGUGUUCCGCCUGGGGAAUACGGUCGCAAGACUGAAACUCAAAGGAAUUGACGGGGGCCCGCACAAGCGGUGGAGCAUGUGGUUUAAUUCGACGCAACGCGCAGAACCUUACCAGGACUUGACAUGGAGGUGACCGGACGAGAGAUCGUCCUUCUCCCGCAAGGGAGCACCUCACACAGGUGCUGCAUGGCUGUCGUCAGCUCGUGUCGUGAGAUGUUGGGUUAAGUCCCGCAGCGAGCGCAACCCUCGUUUCUAGUUGCCAUCAUUCAGUUGGGCACUCUAGAGAGACUGCCGCGAAUAACGCGGAGGAAGGUGGGGACGACGUCAAGUCAUCAAGGCCCUUACGUCCUGGGCUACACACGUGCUACAAUGGGCGUCACAGAGGGUCGCAAGAGCGCAAGCUGGAGCCAAUCCCCAAAAACGUCCUCAGUUCAGAUCGAGGUCUGCAACCCGACCUCGUGAAGGUGGAAUCGCUAGUAAUCGCGGAUCAGAACGCCGCGGUGAAUACGUUCCCGGGCCUUGUACACACCGCCCGUCAAGCCACGAAAGGAGAGAGCGCUCUAAGCCGCCUUGGUAACCCGCAAGGGAACUAAGCGUCUAAAGCGAGAUUUCUGAUUGGGGCUAAGUCGUAACAAGGUC